UUUUUAAUUAUGACCCCCAGUUUGAAUCCAAAUUUGAAUCCAAAUUUAAACAUGACUACAUUGAUAUUCAAAUUGAGUUAAAUCAAUCCCAAAUAUUAUAUAUUUUUUGAUCGAAUCGGAUUGCUUGAAUAUUAGCAUUCGAUCAAUCUCGAAUCAAUUUUUGGGCUUAAAUAUUUUUAAUCAAGUUGGACUUGAGUACCCAAUUCGGCUUGAUACAAUUCAAUGGAUGGAUGGAAAACAAAACAUUUUCUUGGCCCCGUUUGGUCCUCGGACUCUUCUUUGUCACGUUCCAUUUGUACACUAAAAGGUUGGACCCACAU
rnacentral:lncRNA from 1 species